rnacentral:rRNA from 1 species
GACGAACGCUGGCGGCGUGCUUAACACAUGCAAGUCGAACGGAAAGGCCCUGCUUUUGUGGGGUGCUCGAGUGGCGAACGGGUGAGUAACACGUGAGUAACCUGCCCUUGACUUUGGGAUAACUUCAGGAAACUGGGGCUAAUACCGGAUAGGAGCUCCUGCUGCAUGGUGGGGGUUGGAAAGUUUCGGCGGUUGGGGAUGGACUCGCGGCUUAUCAGCUUGUUGGUGGGGUAGUGGCUUACCAAGGCUUUGACGGGUAGCCGGCCUGAGAGGGUGACCGGCGAGAUGGGGACUUGGAGAAGGGCGAGACUCCUACGGGAGGCAGCAGGGGGGAAGAGUGCACAGUGCGCGGGAGCCGGACGCAGCAACGCCGCGUGCGGGAUGACGGGCGUCGUGGUGGAAAACGCAGUCGCCGGGGACGAAGCGGGAAUGGGCGUAAUGGGUAGAGAGACACCGACUAGCUACGGG